AAUACUUUUCCAGUUCAAUGAGAACAAUUCUGUCAAAUAUGCUCGCAUUGUUUAACAGGGCUUUCUUGCAUAACCAGGGGGCUAAUUUUAUGGUCGUAUGAUCAAUGUGUAUCUUAAAUAGUGGCUCAUGCUGAAAACCAUGACUAAGUAGCUAUUGAUAAAAUCCCACUUUGACGUUGAUCCUAUCUCUACGUUAAAGUGUAUACUAGACGUAAUUUCUUGCUGGUCAUGUGGAGGUACUGGACAUACUGCACGGAUUCCCGGUGGUAAUUGGAGGUCCCUCGCGGUGACCGUGCAUUUUCCCACUCAUUCAGCUCGUGGCUACGGGCACGCGGUCUUCCAUCAACGGCUGAUGCGCGGGUUUUCAACACCCUGCUGAAUCCAGGUUUGGGUUUCACUGGGGAUGAUGCCAGUUUACCUGUUUUAGACUUGUUUAAAAAAUGAGAGAAGAUGUGUCUGCUCUUGAUGUGCCACAUACCUGGUCCUGGCUAGAACAUCAGUGUAAGAAAGGGGCCUGUCAUGAUGUCAUGAUCUUGUCAGAUUUUGCUGCUGUGAUCAGUGUAUGGUUGAUGGGAAAUGCAUUUCAAUGCCAAAUGUGGACAAUCUAUAUCACACGUGGUACAGACUACAGCCACAAUAAAAAUGAGUAACAACACACAGAAUGAACUAAGAGACUGAACUAACUUUCUGCUCGAAGAAAAUUGUAAUGAAGAGCCCCCCACCCCCCCUGCCGCCGCCAACUCAGUGGAAAAGUGGACAAUUUUGUGGGGAAAAACAUGAAAAAGGGCCUGUGUCCAUUUUAUUGAACCAGUUGAAGUGUGUAUCUGUUUCAUGAAAAAUAAAAUGAACACCAAUAUUGAAAAAAAAAAAAAAACUUUGCCUUUUCAUCCUAAUAAGUGGAGGUCGUAUUCGUGACAUUACCAGCUGGGCUGCUUCCAAUGCCGUAUUAGCCAGGUUAGCGUGAAUGUUUUCUUAUACCGACAAGCCCUGCGCAUCUGAGACAUGCCAGGGAAGUGAUGGAGAGACCUGUGUGCUUGGAAAGGGACCAGGAUGACCUCCCUGAGCUGCUCUCGCAGUUCGAACCGAAUGUCCUGCACUUCCUCCCCGGAGAACAUGGGAAGCAGCUGUCGCGCCGAUCGUCCUGCUUCCUCCAUUACGCGCCAUGAACCCAGCCGCUAGCGGUAAUGACAAAGCCACACGACCUGCCGUCCCAUCUCUCCGUGCUCUCUGCCGUGACUCAGCAAUGCUGCUUUCCUCUGAACAAGCUAAUAUAUCACAGAAUGAAGGUGUCAGACUCCAGUCCCGAAGGGCCACAGUGCAUGCAGGGAAUUGCGGUUCCAAAGCCUUGAGAACGAGCUGUGUGGAUUCUUUAGCCCAGUGGUUCUCAAACUCGGUCAUGGGGGACCCCUGUGUAUGCUGGUUUUC